rnacentral:lncRNA from 1 species
GGAUUAUUCAGAACACCUUGCUUGUCAUCUGUGAUUGAAUGAUUAUCCCCAUUACAGCUGUCUACCUGGAAAGGAUAUGUCAGACUGCUGUCCUGUCGAACUGGGAAAAGAUCACUGUGGUUUAUAGCACUCAAGACUCCGUACAAGCUAUGACCUCUCACUCCCACAGUAAAACAAACUGCUAUUUCUUCAUUUUUCUUUCUGCAUCAUCAUCAUCAUCUUUCUAAAGGAUGAAAAAUACUAACCAAUUGAUCUUUGCAACAAGAUGUGAAGGGACAUCGAGGACUGAGUUGGUUUACGGAGAUAUGUUUUUGAGCAAAGGUGCUGACCAUUUUUCGGACCACCUCAUGAGCUACUUUUGAGUGGGUACUCAGGAAAAUACAAAGUUAUACAAAUAAGCUUCUUUUUAAGAAAGAGAUCUUGCAAGGAGUGUACAGCAAAAUUUAUCUUUGACACUUAACUGUUGAAUAAACCUUUUUUGCUCAAAGACUGAUGCA